GCCGUGGUAGCUUAGUGGUUAAAGCACUUGGACACAAACCAAGAGGUUGGUGGUUUGAACCCACCAGGCA
rnacentral:tRNA from 1 species